CUCGUAGGCGGCCAACUAAGUCAGACGUGAAAUCCCUCGGCUUAACCGGGGAACUGCGUCUGAUACUGGAUGGCUUGAGUUUGGGAGAGGGAUGCGGAAUUCCAGGUGUAGCGGUGAAAUUCGUAGAUAUCUGGAGGAACACCGGUGGCGAAGGCGGCAUCCUGGACCAACACUGACGCUGAGUGAGCGAAAGCCAGGGAGCAAACG
rnacentral:rRNA from 1 species